rnacentral:rRNA from 1 species
AGCAGUAGCCACGGUAAUCCGUAGGUCCCGAGCGUUGUCCGGAUUUAUUGGGCGUAAAGCGAGCGCAGGCGGUUAGAUAAGUCUGAAGUUAAAGGCUGUGGCUUAACCAUAGUACGCUUUGGAAACUGUUUAACUUGAGUGCAGAAGGGGAGAGUGGAAUUCCAUGUGUAGCGGUGAAAUGCGUAGAUAUAUGGAGGAACACCGGUGGCGAAAGCGGCUCUCUGGUCUGUAACUGACGCUGAGGCUCGAAAGCGUGGGGAGCAAACAGGAUUAGAUACCCGCGUAGUCCCUGUCUCUUAUACA